rnacentral:rRNA from 1 species
GAUGAACGCUGGCGGCGUGCCUAAUACAUGCAAGUCGAGCGAACAGACGAGGAGCUUGCUCCUCUGACGUUAGCGGCGGACGGGUGAGUAACACGUGGAUAACCUACCUAUAAGACUGGGAUAACUUCGGGAAACCGGAGCUAAUACCGGAUAACAUGUUGAACCGCAUGGUUUAACAGUGAAAGACGGUCUUGCUGUCACUUAUAGAUGGAUCCGCGCCGCAUUAGCUAGUUGGUAAGGUAACGGCUUACCAAGGCAACGAUGCGUAGCCGACCUGAGAGGGUGAUCGGCCACACUGGAACUGAGACACGGUCCAGACUCCUACGGGAGGCAGCAGUAGGGAAUCUUCCGCAAUGGGCGAAAGCCUGACGGAGCAACGCCGCGGGAGUGAAGAAGGUCUUCGGAUCGUAAAACUCUGUUAUUAGGGAAGAACAAAUGUGUAAGUAACUAUGCACGUCUUGACGGUACCUAAUCAGAAAGCCACGGCUAACUACGUG